rnacentral:rRNA from 1 species
CCAGACUCCUACGGGAGGCAGCAGUGGGGAAUAUUGGGCAAUGGAGGCAACUCUGACCCAGCAACGCCGCGUGAAUGAUGAAGGUCUUCGGAUUGUAAAGUUCUUUUCUAAGGGAAGAAGAAAGUGACGGUACCUUAGGAAUAAGCCACGGCUAACUACGUGCCAGCAGCCGCGGUAAUACGUAGGUGGCAAGCGUUAUCCGGAUUUACUGGGUGUAAAGGGCGUGUAGGCGGGAAAGCAAGUCAGAUGUGAAAACCAUGGGCUCAACCUGUGGCCUGCAUUUGAAACUGUUUUUCUUGAGUACUGGAGAGGCAGACGGAAUUCCUAGUGUAGCGGUGAAAUGCGUAGAUAUUAGGAGGAACACCAGUGGCGAAGGCGGUCUGCUGGACAGCAACUGACGCUGAGGCGCGAAAGCGUGGGGGGCAAACAGGAUUAGAUACCCCCGUAC